UACGGAGGGUGCAAGCGUUGUCCGGAAUCACUGGGCGUAAAGGGCGCGUAGGCGGCUCAUGAAGGCUGUGGUGAAAGUCCGGGGCUCAACCUCGGAUCGGCCGUGGCGACUCGUGGGCUGGAGCACUGUAGAGGCGGGUGGAAUUCCGGGUGUAGCGGUGGAAUGCGUAGAGAUCCGGAAGAACACCGGUGGCGAAGGCGGCCCGCUGGGCAGAGACUGACGCUGAGGCGCGACAGCGUGGGGAGCAAACAGG
rnacentral:rRNA from 1 species